UCAGUGAGUGCAUGGUAAUGUGUGUUCUUUUGUGAUUGGGUUACCUCACUCAGGAUGAUAUUUUUAGUUCACUCCAUUUGCCUAUGAAUUUCAUGAAGUCACUGUUUUUAAUAGCUGAGUAGUAUUUCAUUGUGUAGAUGUACCAUAUUUUCUGUAUCCAUUCCUCUGAUGAAGGACACCUGGGUUCUUUCCAGCUUCCGGCUUUUAUAAAUAAGGCUGCUAUGAACAUAGUGGAGCAUGUGUCCUUGGUAUAUGUUGGAGCAUCUUUUGGGUAUAUGCCCAGGAGUGGUAUAGCGAGGUCCUCAGGUAGUACUAUGUCCAAUUUUCUGAGGAACCGCCAGACUGAUUCCCAGAGUGGUUGUAUCAGUCUGCAAUCCCACCAACAAUGGAGGAAUAUUCCUCAUUCUCUACAUCCUUACCAGCAUCUGCUAUCACCUGAGUUUUUGAUCUUAGCCAUUCUGACUGAUGUGAGGUGGAAUCUUAGAGUUGUUUUGGUUUGCAAGUUGACCAAGGCAACUCUUAUAAGGACAACAUUUAAUUGGGGCUGGCUUAGAGGUUCAGAGUUCAGUCCAUUAUCUUCAAGGUGGGAGCAUGGUAGCAUCCAGGCAGGCAUGGUGCAGGAGAUGCUGACAGUUCUACAUCUUGUUCUGAAGGCAAACAAAAGACUGGCUUCUAGGUAGCUUGGAUGAGGGUCUUAAAAAGCCCAUGCUCACAGUGACACACC
rnacentral:lncRNA from 1 species